CAUGCAAGUCGAACGGUAACAGGUUCUUCGGAUGCUGACGAGUGGCGAACGGGUGANUAAUACAUCGGAACGUGCCCGAUCGUGGGGGAUAACGCAGCGAAAGCUGUGCUAAUACCGCAUACGAUCUACGGAUGAAAGCGGGGGAUCGCAAGACCUCGCGCGGACGGAGCGGCCGAUGGCAGAUUAGGUAGUUGGUGGGAUAAAAGCUUACCAAGCCGACGAUCUGUAGCUGGUCUGAGAGGACGACCAGCCACACUGGGACUGAGACACGGCCCAGACUCCUACGGGAGGCAGCAGUGGGGAAUUUUGGACAAUGGGCGCAAGCCUGAUCCAGCCAUGCCGCGUGCAGGAUGAAGGCCUUCGGGUUGUAAACUGCUUUUGUACGGAACGAAAAAGCUCUCUCUAAUACAGGGGGUGAAUGACGGUACCGUAAGAAUAAGCACCGGCUAACUACGUGCCAGCAGCCGCGGUAAUACGUAGGGUGCAAGCGUUAAUCGGAAUUACUGGGCGUAAAGCGUGCGCAGGCGGUUAUGUAAGACAGAGGUGAAAUCCCCGGGCUCAACCUGGGAACUGCCUUUGUGACUGCAUAGCUGGAGUGCGGCAGAGGGGGAUGGAAUUCCGCGUGUAGCAGUGAAAUGCGUAGAUAUGCGGAGGAACACCGAUGGCGAAGGCAAUCCCCUGGGCCUGCACUGACGCUCAUGCACGAAAGCGUGGGGAGCAAACAGGAUUAGAUACCCUGGUAGUCCACGCCCUAAACGAUGUCAACUGGUUGUUGGGUCUUCACUGACUCAGUAACGAAGCUAACGCGUGAAGUUGACCGCCUGGGGAGUACGGCCGCAAGGUUAAAACUCAAAGGAAUUGACGGGGACCCGCACAAGCGGUGGAUGAUGUGGUUUAAUUCGAUGCAACGCGAAAAACCUUACCCACCUUUGACAUGUACGGAAUCCUUUAGAGAUAGAGGAGUGCUCGAAAGAGAGCCGUAACACAGGUGCUGCAUGGCUGUCGUCAGCUCGUGACGUGAGAUGUUGGGUUAAGUCCCGCAACGAGCGCAACCCUUGCCAUUAGUUGCUACGAAAGGGCACUCUAAUGGGACUGCCGGUGACAAACCGGAGGAAGGUGGGGAUGACGUCAAGUCCUCAUGGCCCUUAUAGGUGGGGCUACACACGUCAUACAAUGGCUGGUACAAAGGGUUGCCAACCCGCGAGGGGGAGCCAAUCCCACAAAGCCAGUCGUAGUCCGGAUCGCAGUCUGCAACUCGACUGCGUGAAGUCGGAAUCGCUAGUAAUCGUGGAUCAGAAUGUCACGGUGAAUACGUUCCCGGGUCUUGUACACACCGCCCGUCACACCAUGGGAGCGGGUUCUGCCAGAAGUAGGUAGCCUAACCGUAAGGAGGGCGCUUACCACGGCAGGGUUCGUGACUGGGG
rnacentral:rRNA from 1 species